rnacentral:rRNA from 1 species
UGGCACCAUAGCACUGUGGAACACAGGCACCGUAGCACUGUGGCACCGUGGCAUACAGGCACCAUGGUACCAAGGCAGAUUGGCACCGUGGUGCCAUGGCACCAAGGCAACAAGGCACCACGGCACCAUGGCACCAAGGCAGCAAGGCACCGCGGCACCAUGGUACCGCGGCACCAUGGCACCAAGGCACGGUGGCGCCAUGGUUUCGUGGCAACAGUGCAUCGUGGCACCAUGGCACCAAUACACCAAGGCACUACCGUGGUGCCAUGGCACCGUGGCACGAUGGCACCAAGGCACCAAGGCACCGUGGCACCAAUGCACCGUGGCAGCAUAGCACCGUGGCACCAUGGCACCAAGGCAGUAUGGAGCCAUGGCACCAAGGCGUCGUGGCACCAAGGCACCAAGGCACCAUGGUACCAAGGCACUAACGCACUGUGGCAAAAUCAAAAGAGCGUAAACCUAGGUUCGUUCAUCCUAAUAUUUUCCUAACGUUCAUCCAUCAUUCUCACCGUUGCAUACUCAUUUUUCUACAUAACUGCUCUAAUUUUUUUAUUUUAAAUAUAUUUCAAUGUUACCUCAUAUGUCGUGGCGGUUUUCGUAAUGUUCCGUCGCCUUCCGCCUAUGGUGUGCACCGAUCGUCUCAUCCCUUCUGUCGGCGAUGCGCUCCUUGCCUUGAUUGGCCGGGUCAUGCCUACGGCGGUGUUACUUUGAAGAAAUUAGAGUCCUUAAAGCAAGCCUACGCUCUGUAUACAUUAGCAUGAGAUAACAUUACAGGAUUUAUGUCCUAUUACGUUGGCCUUCGAGAUCAGAGUAAUUAUUAACAGGGACAUUUGGGGGCAUUCGUAUUUCAUAGUCAGAGGUGAAAUUCUUGGAUUUAUGGAAGACGAACAACUGCGAAAUCAUUUCGCACGGAUGUUUUCAUUAAUCAAGAAUGAAAGUUGGGGGCUUGAAGGUGAUCAGAUACCGUCCUAGUCUCAACCAUAAACGAUGCUGACCAGGGAUCAGCGGAUGUUGCUUUUAGUACUCCACCGGAGCCUUAUGAGAAAUCAAAGUUUUUGUGUUCCGGGGGGAGUAUGGUCACAAGGCUGAAACUUAAAGGAAUUGACGGAAGGGCACCACCAAGAGCGGAGCCUGCGGUUUAAUUUGACUCAACACGGGGAAACAUACCAGGUCCAGACAUAGUAAGGAUUGACAGGCUGAGAGCUCUUUCUUGAUUCUAUGGGUGUUGUUGCAUGGACGUUCUUAGUUGGUGGAGCGAUUUGUCUGGUUAAUUCCAUUAACGAACGAGACAUCACCCUGCUAACUAGCUAUGCGGAGGUAUCCCUUCGCGGCCAGCUUCUUUGAGGGACUACGGCCUUUUAGGCUGGGGAAGUUUGAGGCAAUAACAGGUCUGUGAUGCCCUUAGAUAUUCUGGGCCGUACGCACACUACACUGAUNAUAGAUGUUUUUGGCCGCACGCUCACUAUACUGAUGUAUUCAACGAGUUUAUAGCCUUGGCCGACAGGCUCGGGUAAUCUUUGAAAUUUCAUCGUGAUGGGAUAGAUCAUUGAAAUUGUUGGUCUUCAACGAGGAAUUCCUAGUAAGCGCGAGUCAUCUGCUCGCGUUGACUACUUCCCUGCCCUUUCUGUACACACCGCCCGUCGCUCCUACCGAUUGAAUGAUCCGGUGAAAUGUUUGGAUCGCGACGACGUGGGCCGUUCACUGCCCGCGACGUCGCGAGAAGUCCAUUGAACCUUAUCAUUUAGAGGAAGGAGAAGUCGUAACAAGGUUUCCGUAGGUGAACCUGCGGAAG